AAGAGUCAUACGUGCGGCCGAGUUUACUUGGUCGCCGUAACACUCCACCCUUUGUUUACAUAUCUUUGUUGCUUUGGCAGGCCCGCUCUCGGGCCACCGGCUUCGGCUGGUCAGCGCCCGCCAGAGGACCCCAAACUCUGAAUGUUAGUGUCGUCUGAGUACUAUACAAUAGUUA
rnacentral:misc_RNA from 1 species